rnacentral:rRNA from 1 species
GUGAGGAAUUUUCCGCAAUGGGCGAAAGCCUGACGGAGCAAUGCCGCGUGAAGGAUGAAGGCCUAUGGGUUGUAAACUUCUUUUCUCAGAAAAGAAUUAUGACGGUAUCUGAGGAAUAAGCAUCGGCUAACUCUGUGCCAGCAGCCGCGGUAAGACAGAGGAUGCAAGCGUUAUCCGGAAUGAUUGGGCGUAAAGCGUCUGUAGGUUGUUUAAAAAGUAUUCUGUCAAAGAUUAGGGCUUAACCCUAGAUAGGCAGAAUAAACUUUUAAGCUAGAGUUUGGUAGAGGCAGAGGGAAACCCCGGUGGAGCGGAGAAAUGCGUAGAUAUCGGGAGGAACACCAAAGGCGAAGGCACUCUGCUGGGCCAAUACUAACACUGACAGACGAAAGCGAGGGGAGCAAAUGGGAUUAGAUACCCCGGUAGUCC